AAGUUUAUACGGCCAACUUCGGCCCUGGCAACCUGUGAUUUCAAUUUUUAGCUUUGUAUUUCUGCAUUUGACAUGUAUAUCAUUGUAUACUUUGUGUAUACAAACUGUUUACAGCUUUCCGGGACUGCGUUUCAGCCUGUUCCGCUACUCUGGAUGACUCGAUAUAGGAGAAGUAUUGAAUUUCGACACAACUCAAGAGGCAAGGAUAGGAGAUAGGAGUUCAUGUUAGAACUCAGACAGAUUUUCAUGGCAAGAAAAAAGAAAGGCAAAACUAAGUCAGCAAAAGGAAAACCAACCUUAAAUAAUAAUAAACAUAAGAAACAUUUAACACUUUCCUAGACUUAAACUCAAACUAAAAUAAGAGAACUCCUAAACAAAUAGCAUAUCAAGAAUAAGGCCAAGAACUCAAUACAUGCGACCAUUUUUUAUCAAAGAUAAUCUCAAUAAGAACAUAUACAAAAAAAGAAAAAAAAACAAAAAAAAAAGAAGAAGAUGAUCAACAAAGAUCUAACUAAAGACACCACAUAUUACAAAAUAGAGGAUUAAAUUUGACAUGAAGCUAUUGCUUUAGGGGAGAUCAAAAUUAGAUUCCUAUGGGAUCUAACCAAUAUUCAUGCUCAAAACAAUAAACAAACACAUGUGUUAUGCUACUAUCUUAAGAACUAUUUGGUCACGAAUGCAAUUUCCAGGGAAUUAGGCAUAGAUAAGUAACUAAAAAACUAAGGCAAAUGAAUUCCAACAAAUCAAGGGAAGGGAGGGAAUAAUGCAGUAGAGGCAAGGAAUUGCAGAAUAUUAAAUGACACAUGCUAUGCAUUUCGCAAUAUGAUUAACAACAAACCAAACUAUAACCCAUUUGGAAAGUUCAGAGAUUAACCGGAUAUAUCCCAUUAUUUUCAAAAAAAUAAAAUUAAGUAGGAGCAUGAUUCCACUUAUAACUGUGCACUAAAAUAAUAACUUCAGAAGGCCAAACCACCGCUAAUCACAAAUAAUUAUGCAACAAACUUUAAGCAAAACUUGAUCAUGCUAAAGAAAAAUCGAAAUAUUCGAGGGAGAAGGGGAAACAAGUCAUCUAAAUAUCCACUUUGAAAGCUCUACUACAAUUUAAAGCAACCCAACUAUAAUUCAAGCAAAGAGAUUUGAAACGAACAACACUAAAGACACAAGAUUAGCUCAAAACAACUUGGCAAGAAGACAUGUUGACAAUAUUCGAGAUAGACUUGACCACAUUCAAAUGAAAGAAAAUAAGAACGACACUAAAUCGAGCGAGAUGAGACUAUGGAAAAUUCGUAAAAAGAAAAAAAAGACAUCAAAACUGAAAUACAAGAGGAACAUAACCAUCAUUCGAAUUAUGUAAACAACUCCUAAGAGAUUAAGCUAACAUGAUGAAGAGAUACUGUAACAAUCAAAACGACAAAGAAAAAACAACCAAAAUGCAAGUAAAUAGUGAAGAAAACAAUUUUAUACAGCUAAUACAUUCAAUAUUGAAACUGAACAAAUAAUGGCUCAUCUUAAACGAACUCAAGCAGAGAUUCAGCUGACCAUAAAGAUACGAAAUUGAGCUAACGAAAUGACGACCAAUACAUAAUAUUCAAAGUAAACUUUCACUAGUACUGGACUCAUGCUUACUGUCCAAAAAAAAUCAUAGGAAAACGAGAUUAAGGCAAAAGCUAAACGAAAGGGCCAAAUACUCUUAACUAGCCGAACAUAUACCAAAGCUUGAACAUACAACACACUAUAUCGAAAUAGAUUGUAAGAGGGAGCGGAAUUACCUUGCUUGGGGCAGCGACUGAGACAAACGAGUUUGAGAGAAACGAUCCUUCUACCACGA
rnacentral:lncRNA from 1 species